CCCGGGCCCGUUUGAUUCCUGUCUCUGCGGGAUAGCGCGAGAGUGGUGUUGCAGAAUGGCCCGGUGAAGAGAAAGAUGCAAAAUACACUGGAUUUAGGUUGUUCACACAAGAUGACUCACAAUAUCCUGAAAAGUUUACAUCGAGUUGAACUCGGAUACAAUUACUGGCCGCUAUUUUCACAAAUUGGAAUCCGUCUUUACAGUUACGAAGAAAUUCCAACUUUUUUAAAAGGCAAUCCAUACAUCACUGAUGGAUAUAGGGCUUACUUGCCAUCAAGUUUGUGUAUCAGAAGCCUGUUUGUUUUGUCCAACGAGAGUGUGAAUAUAUGGAGCCACUUGCUGGGGUUUCUAUUGUUCUUCCUCAUGGGUCUACAUGACACUUGCUUCCUGUUGCCGUCAUCAAACAGCACCCGGGAUGACUACGUCGUUUUUAUUAUUUUUGGCUUCUGUUUCCAGUUCUGCAUGCUCUGCUCAGCAGGAUACCAUCUGUUUUGCUGCCAUCACUCUGAGAAAACCAGCCAGCAGUGGCUUGCCCUCGACUAUGCGGGUGUCUCAGUAGGAAUGUUGGGAUGUUAUGUCCCAGGAGUUUUUUAUGCUUUUUAUUGUGCUGAGCAGUAUUGGAGACAAGUGUACCUGAUAACCGUGCUGGCCAUGAUUUUUGUGAUGUUCCUCACACAAAUCCAUCCGCAGUAUGCCUCUCAACAUUGCCACAAGCUACGCAUUCUGCUCUUCUGCUUCAUUGCCGCCUAUGGAGUAAUCCCCACAAUUCACUGGAUAUUUCAGAAUGGCGGCAUUGGAGAACCAGUUGUUAAGGUGUUUGCACCCAGAGUGGGAAUUAUGUAUCUUCUAGCAAGUUUGGCAUUUCUGUUUUAUUACAGUAAAGUACCUGAGAGGUAUUUUCCUGGUGGAUACUUGAAUUACUUUGGCUGUAGUCACCAGUGGUGGCAUUUCUUGGUAGUUUUAAUGUUCUAUUGGUGGCAUCAGACUGCUGUACAUAUAAUGCACUAUAGACAUGAACAACCAUGUCUAAAAAUAAAGUAAACUUUCAAUUUACAAGUUUUCCAACAUUACCUGAAGAGGACUGCUUUCCAAUUUAGAGAAAUCAGCAAUCUUGACUACAUGACAGCUGAGUCUUCUAACCAACUGCAUGAUUGCCUUCUAAAACUGAACUCGUGCUGUAUGUUUGGAGAUUUGUACUGUGGUAAAUACUGGUACCAUGACACCUACUCAACGAUUCCUCGGACUUGAUGUUGCAUGACGAAGUCUUUCUAAUGAGCCAAAUCUUUGGCCACUUUUCUAACAUUCGGAUUGUGCCAGUAACUAACAGAUAUCACAAACUCAAGGUGCUGUAAAGGCAGCUAUGUUAAAAUGCCUUUUAACAACGUCAAUGCAUGUAUUUGUUAAGUGCAAUUGUAUUUAUUCAAAUGUCUUUAGUGCAUUACAAUGCCUGCGAUGUAAGUUAGUCAACAUUUUAUAGAAAUUAUUUAAUAUGUACUGUAAUAUGUAUGCUGCAAAUUUAAUAUAACCAGAGGACAGAAAAGCAAUUGUAUUGCAUGCAAAAUAACAUGUUUACAAUGCCUAACUCAUGCCCCUCCCAUACAAUAACCUAUGAUUAUAAGUUCAAAUUAUUAAAUCUGAUUAGUUGUGAAGUAAUCAACUAAUUCAGACAAAGGUACACAAGCUGUUAUAAAUCAGAAGACAGCUUCAUAACUUAAAGAUAUAAUAUUUAGAAUGUAAUAACACAUUUUAGGGAGGGCAAACCUAGUAAACUUUAUUUUUUUUAAAUGUGAAAAUCUCAUGUCGAUCUUUAGAUAAUCUACACCUAACAUCAUUGAUGUAAAGCAGUUAUCUGAAAUAUUGCCCUGGACAAUAUGUGGCCACAAACUUAUCAAUCACCCCUGCUGUUGACCACUUCUGGAGAUCCAAGGCGCCGACUUCUACAAAGAAGGGACCCGUAUGCUCCACGACCGCUGGACUAAGUGUGUAAAUGUAGGAGGGGACUAUGUUGAAAAAUAAAUGUGCUAGGUUUUCUAAAAUUGACUCCUUCUACCUUAGAUCACGGACCUAUCAAUCACCCCUUGUAUACCUUAUGGUCUUAGUUCUCUUAAAUCAUCUACCAAUAUUAAUUGUCUGAACUUUACAAAAAAAGACUCCAAUAAACUCAUAACUGCGCAGAGUAAAAGAAAAGGACUACUUUUCCACCUCAAACGACAUUUGAAUAAGUAUAAUUUGAGUGAACACAAUACAGAAAAUUCUAACUACAGCUAUAGACAGAGUAUUAUUCUGCAUGCAUUAAGCAAUCUUUGGAAUGAAUAUUGUGGCAUGUGCAGUUAAUAAAAACUGCUGGUAACUUUAAAUCAUGCUGAUCAUCCAUCUUUGUUACAUUUUACACAACAAGGCAAAUGAUCUCCUUACCAUUUCCCAAACAAAUCAGGAGGUCAACUGUUGACAGCAUAAAGAAAAUUAAACAAAGACUUAUUUUACCUUCAAUAUGAUACACAAAAUCACCUGUACAUCACGAGUACGCACUUGAUAUCACACAAAGAAUGCAAAAGCAACGUUGGCAUUAAUUUUGAAAGAACAAAAAUAUAAAAGAAAGGAUAUAAUGCUAAGGCUUUAUAAGGCACUGGUCAGACUGCAUUCGGUGUACUCUAAGUAGUUUUGGAUCCCUUAUCUAAGAAAGCAUGUGCUUUCAUUGACGAGGAUCUAGAGGAGUUAAUGAGAAUGAAUCUGGGAAUGAAAGGGUUCAUGUACGUAGAAUAUUUGAUGGCUCUCGGCCAGUACUCACUGGGGUAGGGUGGGGUGGGAAUUCUCCUUGAAAUCUAUCCAUUAUUCAAAGAGCUAGAUAGAGUGGAUGUGAAGAUAAUGUUUCCUAUAGUGGAGGAGUCCAGGACCAGAAGGGACAGCCUUAAAAUAGAGAGAUGAUCAUUGAGGAUAUUUAAAGCAGAGGUUGAUAAGCUCUUGAUUAGUAAUAGUGUCAAAGGUUAUGGGAAGAAGGCAGGAAAAUGGGGUUCAGGGAAAUAAUAAAUUAGCUAUGAUGCAAUGGUUGUACAGAAUCAAUGAGCCAAAUAGCCUAUUCCUGCUUUUAUGUCUUAUAUUGUUCCAUUCCAAUAUAUGCAAAGUCCUCUCAGGACUUUUCUCUGUUUUUUAGUAAAGCAUCAUCUAAACUUUACUGAAGUCCUGCUCUUCACGCACCUUACCACAUACAACUCUGUUGUCUUGAGGUACAAUAAAACUGAUAAUUGAGUAUCAACAUUCAUUUUAAACUCAACAAGGCCCCAUUUCCUGUUCUCCCUUUAAAAAUGCAGAACCCAGCAUCCAGGGCCCUAUUUCCCCAGUUCCUUCCAAACCUACCAGAUCCCGGUUUCCUGCAUUCACUUCAAACACACCAGCUCUCUUGAAAACAUAUCCUUAUAUGACACCUAAAGAAAGGGUAAACUGAAAGUGUAUUGGAACGUUAAUAGGGGUAAUAUCAAAAGUCCAGAAACGCUGUAGGCUCAGUGCCAAGCCCCUGGGGUGCAAAAGUUUUGCUAUAUUAUAUAAUAGAUGCAUUUAAGAAGUUCUUGAAAAAGGACAUGAAUAUAUAAAAAAUUUAGUGAAAUGGACCGUGUGUAGGUGGAAGGAAUUAAAAAAGGUACAAUCAGCUUAAUUAGUUUGGCACAACAUCUUGGGCUGAACAGCCUGUUCCAAUGCUGUACUAUCAUGUGUUUGGAAACCAAACUAAAUUGAAGAUUUGUGUUAUAUUAUGAAGUGUUUGUGCUUCUUUGUGCAUC